AGAAAAGUUUUCAAUCCCUCGCUUGUGAAACAUGGCCAAAUUUUCUUUCAGGUUCUUCACUGGUUUAUUAGCAAGUGAAAUGUUGUCCUUUGCCUUUUGACUUUGCACGUUAAUAUCACUGGAAACAGCUUUAUUUUCUGACAGUGGUGAAUCUUGAGAUGUUUCAUUAAUGUCAAUCUUCCUAGUCCGAACUCCUACUGAAUGGUCACGAAGUGAAUCUCCAUGAGGCUCAUCACUCAUAUGGCCAACAUCACCAUUUUCCUCAGAACCUUGGCCGUCCUCCAUGCAAGAUUCAUCAGCAGAACUCUUUAUGGUUGCAUUUAAUGCAAUAUAGUUGCCAUCAGCUGAACUGUCACCUGACACAUUAUGGACAUUUGAAUCAUCAAAUCUCCUCUCCAGCUCUGUGGCUUCACUUAUGUAGUUGAGAUUGC
rnacentral:lncRNA from 1 species